ensembl:lncRNA
UGCAUAUCCUAGUUGUAGUCAUUCUAGUUCUACUAUGUCGGAUGCCACCACAGCAUGGCCUGAUGAGUGGUGUGUAGGUCCAUGCCCAGGAUCCGAACUGGUAAACCCUGGGCCACUGAAGUAGAUUGCGUGAACUUAACCACUCGGCCAGGGGGCCAGCCCCAGACACCUAUGGAGUGUUCUUGUUUUCAAGACUCUGAAAGCUGACCCUAGAAGAAUCGAAUAGUUAGGAUCCUCUCCAAAGAAGUUAUUGCAGACACUCCUAGAUGCAGGUAAACUCUUGGCUGCUUAAUGGGACUACUGAUAUGGGAGAAAGAAACUGUCAUUCAUCAGUACAAUGAUUCCUACCUUGUGGAUAUGAUUCCUCCUUUCCAUCAAGACUGUCCUGGUGGUGGUGGAACCAAAUUCUUCCUUUUUCGGCUUUCUCUGCUGAUGUAAAAGAAAGCAUCUGUCCUUCAAUGGAAUUACCUGGAAAUGAAAUCAAGGGGCAGAGUCCAGUACCUCUAAAUCUACAUCAGAACUUUCCACAAGCCAUUUUAUUUCCGGGCAUGCUAAUUAAAUCUGUUUCCUGGAUGAAAGAAAUUGAGAGGUUUGAGGCCCACAGGAAAUGCCUCUCGGUUUAAGUGGACCCAGGCUCACCUCUAUUUGUAAGCAGGAAAACCAUAGAAUUCCAUUUGGAAAACUGUGUAUUCGAGAAGGAAUAAAUGGAAUUCAUGAUAUAUACCUUUUCAUCUUUAAUGGCUGCGAUGGACCUAUAAGAAACUACUUCUGUGGGAUUUUUAAAGGCUCUGUGUAUAAAUGCUGGUGAUAAAUAAAUUCUUAUUAAUUCUUAGCCAACAUUUUGGCCCUGGGUUUAAGACUGCUGAAAACAUGUUUGAACCCAAGCAGAGAAUUAAAUGAUUUUAAUGCCAUUUUGUUGCAUGGCAGCCACAAAUAUCAAAUAUCUUCCAUAUCAUCAAAAUAUGAGAUUAUGUGCCUUUAUGCCCUGUAUAAGGUGCUAGGCUAAGAAGGGAAAAUGUGGGAAGUAUAUGUGUUAAAUCUACGAGUUUAAUUGUUCAGCAAAUUGGAAGCGAAUGAAUAGCAUAUGCUUUCCAUCUAAAUGUCAAUGAUGCCAAGAAGGCUUCCUUUGGUUCCCAUGGGUAACUUUCACAUUCAUGUAGAUAGAAGUAAAAAUAUAACAACCCACCUCCUAACUUCAAAAGCAUUAAGUAGCAAAUCUCUAAACUUGUAAAGGAGAAAAUGCUACCAAAUGGAAGAGAAUUUGGUAAUCAUUAAAAUAAGAUCUGUCUCCUCAGAGUAGGAAGUCAAAAUUUUUCUCACAUGAAAACUGAGAUACAAAAAGCAUCAUUGUAAUGCCAAUUGUCUCCAUUUUUUAGCCAAAUAUUCUAAUACUUUUAGUGGCAUACUCAGUAAUAUUUGCCCAUAUUUGUAAUUGAGAUCACUCACCCAGAAAAGCAGCAUUACUAAGCUAGCUAGUGAUUUAGCCACAUUACUAAAUUUGCCUUUCAAGCCUCAAAGAGGUGUAUUUUCACAAAUUUUUGAACAAGAAAGUUGUGUGCUAGAGCACACUAUCUUAAAUCAACAGGUGUAGUAUUGGCCACAAGGAGCUAAUUUAUUCUUAGCCAUCAUCAUUUGUAUAAUCCUCCAUAUUGACCUUGCUCCUAUUUAGUUUUAAGGAGUUUUGGGAGCAUUACUAAUCCCAACAUAACAAUAAUAGCAAUAACAGCAAAUUCUAGUAAGGAGAGGCAUAGGUUAUGAUGCAGAGCUGAGAUAAACAAUGGAAAAGGAUGAGACAAUGAUAAGAAUCGUGAUUC